AUUGAACGCUGGCGGCAUGCCUUACACAUGCAAGUCGAACGGUAACAGGUCUUCGGAUGCUGACGAGUGGCGAACGGGUGAGUAAUACAUCGGAACGUGCCUAGUAGUGGGGGAUAACUACUCGAAAGAGUGGCUAAUACCGCAUGAGAUCUACGGAUGAAAGCAGGGGAUCGCAAGACCUUGUGCUACUAGAGCGGCCGAUGGCAGAUUAGGUAGUUGGUGGGAUAAAAGCUUACCAAGCCGACGAUCUGUAGCUGGUCUGACAGGGCGAGCAGCCGCACCGGGUCCGGGACACGGCCCAGACUCCUACGGGAGGCAGCAGUGGGGAAUUUUGGAUAAUGGGCGCAAGCCGUAUCCAGCAAUGCCGCGUGCGGGAUGAAGGCCUUCGGGUUGUAAACUGCUUUUGUACGGAACGAAAAGCCCCGGGUUAAUACCCUGGGGUCAUGACGGUACCGUAAGAAUAAGCACCGGCUAACUACGUGCCAGCCGCCGCCGUAA
rnacentral:rRNA from 1 species